rnacentral:misc_RNA from 1 species
GAUGAAGAACGUAGCGAAAUGCGAUAAGUAAUGUGAAUUGCAGAAUUCAGUGAAUCAUCGAAUCUUUGAACGCACCUUGCACCCUUUGGCAUUCCGAAGGGUAUGCUCGUUUGAGUGUCAUUGUACUCUCACACUCCCAAUUGCUUUGGAUUGGGAGCGGUGGACUUGGGUGUUGCUGCUUGACUGAGGCUCACCUGAAAUAUGUUAGUGCACCUCUUGAUUGGACAUAGUACGGCGUGAUAAGUGUCUUCGCCGGCUCCUCGCAAAGAGGGUGGCCGAUCGGGAGCUCUGUUGCUUCAAACUGUCUUCGGACAAUCUUCUGGCGACUUGACCUCAAAUCGAGUAGGACUACCCGCUGAACUUAAGCAUAUCAAAAGCGGAGGA